UGUGUGCUCCUCCAGGAAACCUCAAACU
rnacentral:piRNA from 1 species